UACGGGGGGGGUAAGCGUUGUUCGGAAUUACUGGGCGUAAAGGGCUCGUAGGCGGCCAACUAAGUCGGACGUGAAAUCCCUCAGCUUAACUGGGGAACUGCGUCUGAUACUGGAUGGCUUGGAUUUGGGAGAGGGAUGCGGAAUUCCAGGUGUAGCGGUGAAAUGCGUAGAUAUCUGGAGGAACACCGGUGGCGAAGGCGGCCCUCUGGUCCAGUACUGACACUCAAGUGCGAAAGCGUGGGGAGCAAACAGG
rnacentral:rRNA from 1 species